rnacentral:misc_RNA from 1 species
UUGUGGCCCACAAGAAGGUGAACCUCAACCGUCUCAAAACUGGCGCCGAGCGCGUCUCAGUCUCAAUAGAUCUCUAUAACGAGGGAUCCGCGACUGCUUAUGAUGUGAGCCUUACCGAUGAAAACUGGCCUCAAGAAACCUUUGAGCUUGCCUCAGGCACCACCUCCAAGACAUGGGAAAGGCUUGAUCCUGGUUCGACUGUGUCCCUUUCGUUUGUUUUCGAGACCAAAGUGAAGCAGACUUUCCAUGCUUCCCCUGCUGUUGUCAAGUUCCGUGUCCCGACAAAGUCCACUACACUGGAGGCCUACUCUACUCCCGUUCUGCCGCUGGAUAUUCUCGCUGAUCGGGCUCCAGAGAAGAAGUUUGAAUUGGCAAAAAGGCUCUUAGCGAAAUAUGGAUCUCUGGUUUCGGUUCUCUCAUUUGUUGGCCUGUUUAUCUACGUCGUAGCAAGCCCUUCGAAAUCGAACGUAGUGAAAGGAGGAAAGAAGAAACGAUAGAUGGUUACUGAAGUUGCCUUGCG